AGUCACUGACAUUAGAUACCCCGGUAGUCCCAGCCGUAAACAAUGUGCGUUAGGUGUGUCGGUAACCACGUGUUACUGAUGCGCCGAAGAGAAAUCGUGAAACGCACCACCUGGGAAGUACGGUCGCAAGGCUGAAACUUAAAGGAAUUGGCGGGGAGCACCACAACAGGUGGAGCCUGCGGUUUAAUUGGAUUCAACGCCGGACAUCUCACCGGAUAAGACGGCUGAAUGAUUGUCAAUCUGAAGGUUUUACAUGACUAGCUG
rnacentral:rRNA from 1 species